CACCGCGGUUAAACGAGAGGCCCCAGUUGAUAAUGUUACGGCGUAAAGGGUGGUUAAGGAACACAACACAAUAAAGCCGAACAGCCCCCCGGCCGUCAUACGCUUCCGGGUGCUAGAAGCCCAACCACACGAAAGUAGCUUUAACAUAAUUUGCCUGAUCCCACGAAAGCUGAGAAA
rnacentral:rRNA from 1 species